rnacentral:rRNA from 1 species
AUUGAACGCUGGCGGCAGGCCUAACACAUGCAAUUCGAACGAGUGGCGGACGGGUGAGUAAUGUCUGGGAAACUGCCCGAUGGAGGGGGAUAACUACUGGAAACGGUAGCUAAUACCGCAUACCAUCGGAUGUGCCCAGAUGGGAUUAGCUAGUGGGUGGGGUAACGGCUCACCUAGGCGACGAUCCCUAGCUGGUCUGAGAGGAUGACAAGCCAAACGGGAACUGAGACACGGUGAAGACUCAGACGGGAGGCAGGAGUGGGGAAAAUGGCACAAGGGGGGCAAGCCGGAUGCAGCCAUGCCGCGUGUAUGAAGAAGGCCUUGGGGUUGGAAAGUACUUUCAGCGAGGAGGCGUUACUCGCAGAAGAAGCACCGGCUAACUCCGUGCCAGCCGCCGCGGUAAUUC